rnacentral:rRNA from 1 species
AUUGAACGCUGGCGGCAUGCCUUGCACAUGCAAGUCGAACGGCAGCACGGGAGCAAUCCUGGUGGCGAGUGGCGAACGGGUGAGUAAUAUAUCGGAACGUGCCCAGUCGUGGGGGAUAACGCAGCGAAAGCUGUGCUAAUACCGCAUACGAUCUAAGGAUGAAAGCGGGGGAUCGCAAGACCUCGCGCGAUUGGAGCGGCCGAUAUCAGAUUAGCUAGUUGGUGGGGUAAAGGCCCACCAAGGCGACGAUCUGUAGCUGGUCUGAGAGGACGACCAGCCACACGGGAACUGAGACACGGUCCAGCCUCCUACGGGAGGCAGCAGUGGGGAAUUUUGGACAAUGGGCGCAAGCCUGAUCCAGCAAUGCCGCGUGCAGGAUGAAGGCCUUCGGGUUGUAAACUGCUUUUGUACGGAACGAAACGGCCCUUUCUAAUACAGGGGGCUAAUGACGGUACCGUAAGAAUAAGCACCGGCUAACUACGUGCCAGCCGCCGCCGUAA